rnacentral:lncRNA from 1 species
GUUUGCUUUUGUGUGAUAGGGAUCCCAUCUUAAGAUUGUGAAAAGAGGACCAUUGUCAUGAGUAGCCAAGUUAAGAGCCAUCCCUUUAUUGUGUUGUGAGCUUUUUGAUGUUUGCUUUUGUGUGAUAGGGAUCCCAUCUUAAGAUUGUGAAAAGAGGACCAUUGUCAUGAGUAGCCAAGUUAAGAGCCAAGCCAAAUGGAGAUCCUAUGAGCUUGAAUUCAAUUUAUUGAUUGCUUGUUUGUGUGUUUAAUCCAAAGGAAAAGAGCAUCUUGAGUCAUCUCUAUGACUUCAAGAAAAG